rnacentral:misc_RNA from 1 species
CAAACUCCAAGCUGUGCUUGAUGUUGGUCGGUGUGUCUUUGGGGAAAGUCUUCUUUUCGGAGGAGAGUUUUUUGAGAGACACAGGACUGGAACGCGUUGGCGCCGCCGCCAGACCACGAGCGUAGCAAGACGAGAGUCAAGAAAUCGCCUCGGGUUGGAUCUGACGGACGGUGGCCUGGUUUAUUGUAUAUUGUUCAUGGACGAUUUAUCAUUGAUUUAUCGUUGAUUUGUCUGAAUGAAUGAUAGACACACACAACA